rnacentral:rRNA from 1 species
UACGGGGGGGGCAAGCGUUGUUCGGAAUUACUGGGCGUAAAGGGUUUGUAGGUGGCUUGCUAAGUCAGACGUGAAAUCCCUCAGCUUAACUGGGGAACUGCGUCUGAGACUGGAUGGCUCGAGUGCAGGAGAGGAACGCGGAAUUCCAGGUGUAGCGGUGAAAUGCGUAGAUAUCUGGAGGAACACCGGUGGCGAAGGCGGCGUUCUGGACUGCAACUGACACUGAGAGACGAAAGCCAGGGGAGCAAACGGG